UGGGUGGCUAGACCUGCUCCCGCCGUCCAGGCUCCACACACCAGCCACAGGGCUCUAGCACUGCUCCUCUGCUUGGAAACCUGUUCUUAAAACUCUGACUCCCCCUUAUAAAAACACUCCAGCAGCCCCUACAAGCUCUUCAGUAUCUAUCCAGCAGCCUUCACUCCAGCCAGGAGCUGUCCCCAGGGGACACACCAGGCUCACUCCUGCCACCUGGAACAUUCUUCCAGGGCCAGCUCCUCCUCAGCCCUCAGGGCUGUUUAAGUCUCCUCGGAGAGGCCCUCCCUGCCGCCCGGUUAAUCGAGUCCUUGUACGGUUUCGUCUCACCACCACGCUCGCUUUCUUCCUAAUAGUAACCACAGCUGGCAGGAUUCUGAUGAGCUGCUGGGCGCCUCACUGCCUGCAAGGCAGGGGCCUGCGGCCAGGCCCUCGCCCUCGCCUGUUCGACUGUUCCGCCUCCGCUGACACACAGCAGGUACUUAGCAAACGCCUUGAAAUAGCUGGGGCUAGAGAUGGGGACAGAACGACAACUCACAGCUGGAGGCCCUGGGCUCCCGCACCACCUGUUCAGGAGACAGCCCAACCUCGAGGCUGUGGCUUCCCUCCAACCAGACAACCAGCCCUGACAGGGAUGGCUGGGAGCUGCCCGUUCUCAUUAGCCCUCACCUUGCUCACUGCCCCGGAGGGAAGCCGGGCAGAGGCCAUGGAGCUGCCAGGGUGUGGGAGCCACCACCAACCACCCAGCGGCAAAACUCCGGGUCAGGAAAUAGCCACAAUCCCGAGGGCUGCACCCAGAGGAAGGAGCAGACAGGAUAUUGCUGCAUGAUUUUAUUACUAUAAAUAUACAGUAAAAACGAACCAACGGUGAGCCCAUCUGAACACAUCAGACGGCAGCACAUGGAAGUCCCAGCGGGCCACUCUGCGGCCCAAACUUCACGCAGAGCUCUGGCACCAGGACCGAUGGCCAGAGGCUGGGGCUUUGGUCGGGGGGUUGGUGCAGGGUGUGUGUGUGCGUGGGGCGGGGAGAGGUGCGUGGGAGAUGCUCGGUCCCAGUACACACACAUGCAUGGGAACAUGUGCAUUGAGUAUGUACGUGUAUGGUGAGAGCAUGUGUGAGCGUGUGUGCAUGUGUGAACGUGUGCAUGUGAGCAUGUGAGCAUGUGCGAGUGGGCGUGCAUGUGUGAGCGUGUAUGGGUGAGAGCAUGUGCGUGCGUGUGCACGAGCAGGAGGGGUGGCUGGCCUGGGUGUGCAGGGAGCUGGGUGUGGGGACCGUGCUAUCCACUGCUGGGUCUCCCUCAAGUGCCCACUAGGCAGAGCUUGUGCUCAGAGCCACCGUGAGCCUCAGGGGAGGGCACUGAGCUGCCCCACGGCUGUCCUAUCCGCAGGCCCGGCUGCAGGGCAGCCCUCCGGGGCCAGGGAGCAGCACACACCUUCCCGGCCCAGGGUUCUACUGGGACAGCUCCAGCCCUGGGUCACCAGGCCCAGGCAUUCUCCCUUUGCACAUCUGCUGCCCAGGAGUUUUACCUUACAAAAAACAAAACAAAACAAAACAAAAAAACCAAAAAAAAAAA